GGUCAAAAUCAUUAACUUUUUGCUUCUCAAAAUCACUAGGACCCUCUUCUAAUAUAAUGUUGGGCUUUCUUCAAGUACCACACAAGAAGACAUCCCAGGGACAUCUGGAUCCCCAGCUAUUUCAUUUUACAUCUUGGUAUUACCCUCACUCCUCAGAGCUGAGUUCUAAGUCCAGUCACUUACUGAAAAUAUGACUUCCCAGGGACCUUCAGACUUGGACAAAAUCUUGCCUGCUCCCUAUGGAUGGUGUUUCCAGAGAAGAUUGGCACAAGGGACAGCAAACUGAUACAGGAGACCCACCCUGGAUGUGGGUACCUCCACAUGGGUGGAACAAAGGGGCCUGGAUGGAACAAAGCAGAAGGAAGAGACAG
ensembl:lncRNA